GUCCCACCUCCCACUUCUGAGCAUCAGCCCCAGCUGCACCUACAGCCUCCACCCACCCACGCCACCCUUGUCUCCUUUCCGCAGUGUUUCCCCGGCUGCUUAAUCAUAAGAAUCAGCUGGGUGCUUGCCAAAAGCACGGACCCUUGGGCCUCACUUCCGGCCUUCUGAACCGGAUGCUUUGGAGCAGGGCCCUGGGAAUCUCUGCCUUGAACGCAAGCCCAGGCGAUCCUCCUCACCCUGCCGGGUGAUGGAACUCUGUCCCACCCAUCCCUCUGGUCCUUCAGCCCCUGCUGUGUUCAAUGAUGCGUGUGAGGUCUCCUGGCUGGGAGCCCUCUGCACGGACCUCUCCGUGCUGACCCCUCUGUGCUAAUGUCUCAGCUCCCACAUAUGAGCAAGUCAGUUGACCUCUCUGAGCCUUAGUUUUCUCAUCUCAAAAUGGGGACACAUGUCUAUCCCAGGGGAUCCUAUGGGAGUAAACGGGCUGCUCCAUGCAAAGUGCCUGACAUGGUUCCUGGUACAUGGAGGGGGCUGCACACAGAUUAGCAUCUUCUUUCCUGCCAGAUGCAAGCCAGCUGCAGGAAUCAGGACCCUCCUGAGCCUUGAAACUGAACUCACCUCCUGGGUCCUCUCUUUCCAGAUGUGUACUGCCUUCUGCAGAAAUGGCUGCAUCCCCUAUAAAAGCUUGUGAGUUUCCUUUUUUUUUUUUUUUUUUUUCCUUGCUUUUUAGGACCACAUUUGCAGCAUACAGAAGUUCCCAGGCUAGGGGUCAAAUCAGAGCUGCAGCUGUUGGCCACAGCCAUAGCCACAGCCAUGCCAGAUCUGAGUCAUAUCUGUGACUUACUCCACAGCUCACGGCAACGCCAUAUCCUUAACUCCAUGAAUGAGGCCACAGAUCGAACCUGCAUUCUCAUGGAUAUGAAUCAGGUUCUUAACCCACUGAACCACAACAGGAACUUCUAAUUUUUUUUAAUUUUUAUUUUUGGCUGUAGCUGUGGCAGGCAGAAGUUCCUGGGCCAGGAAUCGAACCUGUGCCACAGCAGUGAACAGAACCACAGCAAUGACAAUGUUAGGUCCUUAACCCACUGAGCCACCAGGGAACUCCAUGAGUUUUGUUUUUUAAGCGGGUGUCUGCCAGACUCUUGCCAGCCUCAUGUCUAUCCAGGGCCAUGCCUGGACCUAGGCAGGUGAUGGUCAGGUUGGCAUCCCCACCCCUCUGCUAGCUGAAGGUGUCCAGAGCCCCAGGCUUGCUGACUCCCCACGCCCCUUGCCAAUGGCAUUUGAAGGUCAGCCAUGUUUCCACUUCCUCUAUGCAUGCUGCCACCUUAACUCUUUCUGAGCUUUUUGGGAAGGGUAUUUCCCUAGACUUUCCCUACCACCUCUGUGGACCAUGUCAGUGGGCACAGCAACCAUCAGGAAGAGCUGGCGGGUGAUGCUUUUAUGGGGAUGGAGGCCAAGGAUUAGAGUUGGCAGAAGGGACUGGCACAUCUCACAAGUUCAGUAGGAGCUGACCUGAGGCAGUAGAAGACUUGCUGUGUGACUUUGGCAAGACCCUUUCCCUCUCGGGCCUCAGUUUCCUUAUCUGUAAAAUGGAGACACUGGACCAGAUCAUGAGCCCCAAGGAUGCUCCCAAUUUUAACAUUCUUAGUCUCAUGGUGGGAUCAAUUAUACAUUUUUACUCUGUUAUUGACACAGAAAAAAAUGUAUACGUUUUCCAAGUGUGUGUGAAUUCUAUGUCUAAUAUUUCUGAGGUCCUGCCUGGACCCUGUCAAUAUUUCCAUGGAAUCCAAGGGCCAUGAACCAUGUGUUUGUGCCACUCCCUCCCCAAUUCAUAUGUUGAAUCCUAACCCCCCAUGUGAUGGUAUUAAGAGGUAGGACUUUGGGGAGGCACCUAGAUCACAAAGUCAUCAUGAAUGGAAAUAGUGCCCUUAUCAAAGAAAUUCCAAGAGCUCCCUUGCUCCUUUACCAUAAGAGGGCAUAGUGAAAAGACAGUCAAAGACCAGGAGGAGGGAGCUUAUCAGACAGUGAAUUUGCUAGUGCCUUGACCUUGACCUUCCCACCCUCCAGAACUAUGUGAAAUACAUGUUUGUAAUUUAAGCCAGUGAGUCUAUAGUAUUUUUGUUAUAGCAGCCCCAAAUGACUAAGAAACAAGUUUUCAGCAAGACUUGGGGUCUCACUUGUGUUAACUAGUGAUGGUUUUGUGUAAGAGCUGCACUGGGAUUCCAAUAAAUAUGUUCCCUGAUGACCUUCAAUUUCACCUUUCCGUUUGCUCUGCUUUCUCAUCUGUAUAAAGGGACUGACAUUCUCGUGCCUGGCCCAUUGUGGGUGCUGAAUCAGUUCCUGCUGUCUCCCCUCUGCCCAUCCAAAUUGGAGAGAGCAGUCCAAGCUAAACCCCAGACAAAUGGCUGUUUCUUCUUUCAGGGUCCUCCUCAGACUCAUGUCAAGAGGAAGACAAAGUCAACACAUGUCACUUUAAUUCCAAUAUCUUUAUCAAGUGCCAGGGACACAACGCUGGGGAAGAAAACCCAAUAGCAUUCCAGUUUAGUAGGCUUAACACAUAAGUAACAGAAACUGACUAGGUUCAGUUUAAAAAGAAAGAGACUGGCCAACCACAAGACAUCUUCUUAGAGUAGGAUUAGCCCAAAAGGUGAUUAAUAAAUAGGAAGGAGCAUCCUAGGAGGAUCUCAGGGCAGGAGAAGCCACCAUGUGAGCAGAUGUGUCCAUUGUAGGGAAAUGGACAAAGAUGGAGUGUUUGGGGGUGGGGGCACCAGCAAAAGGAUGCUGACAAAGGUUCACAAAGAAAGAGAGUUCCCAUUACGGUGCAGUGGUUAACAAAUCCAACUAGGAACCAUGAGGUUGUGGGUUCAAUCCCUGGCCUUGCUCAGUGGGUUAAGGAUCUGGCGUUGCCGUGAGCUGUGGUGUAGGUUGCAGACGUGGCUCUGAUCCUGUGUUGCUGUGGCUCUGGUGUAGGCCAGUAGCUACAGCUCCAAUUAGACUCCUAGCCUGGGAAUCUCCAUAUGCCAUGGAAGCGGCCCUAGAAAAGGCAAAAAGACAAAAAG
rnacentral:lncRNA from 1 species